UUCCGGGCCAAAGAGAUUCUUUUGGGCCAUUAAAAGGGCGGGAGGGAAGGUAGACGGCGUCGACACCAAGAAGUCGGUAGGAGAUGAAGAAGGCCGGGGCCUUGGCCGCCUCCGUCGCGGCAGCAUCUUCCAUCGCUCUCUCAGCCGCCAGCCUCCCCUCCCCCUCCUCGUCCUCCGAGGAGGGAUCGGGAAGGGGAGGGGAAGACAAAUUCGCGCCGAGGUUCGACGGACUCAGAUUCAUCGAGACGCUGGUGACGGCGCAUCGCUGACCAAAUGAAAAGCUCGCCUUUGCCUUUGUGCUGCUUCCUUCCCUUCCAACGUUAACAAAGCAUGGGCUUGGAAUGACACGCACGCUGCGGUGGCAAUCUGAAAGAGCGAUCCAUUCAUCAUUCUGUCAAUUGAUGGCCAUGAACACCAUUUUCUAGGCUUUCUUACGGGUGUGCCGAAAAUAUUAUCCUCAUUCGUUGGCAUAAGGGGAAUAAGCGUUGUGGGUGGGCAUCUACAAUAACUCGAGCUUGAAAAGUUUCCAUUUAGAUACACCUUUUUCCUUUCAUGUGUCACGCCAUACACAAACCAUGCAAGAUGUGUAACACAAGCCAAAGCUGAGGUGAGAAGGCUUGAAAAACACGUUUUUGUAAGAAAAGGCAUGAUUUAGGCACAGCAACUACUUGAUGUGACACAAGAAUUCUGCGUAAGAGAACCAUAGCUGCGACCCAGGAAGAUUAGAAGAACGCCAAGACAAGCGAGGACCUUUAGAGUCGGGACGAGAUCCAACCGUUCCAUUUCAAGACGACAACAACGGAGGGCAGCCGAUGCAAAGCAUGGGAAACUCAUUCUUGGUGUUGACGCCGUCCAGCCCGCUAAGGGGCUAAUUAGUUGGAUCUAUUAACAUCACGAUUUUAUAUUUUAAAAAAAUUAUAUUAAGAUUUUUAUAA